CCGGCGACCGGCGCACGGGUGAGUAACACGUAUGCAACCUGGCCGUGACAGAUGGAUAACUGGGAGAAAUCCCGCCUAAUACAACAUAAUGCCGGGAGGGGACAUCCCCUGCCGGCCAAAGGGGGCGACCCCGGUCACGGAUGGGCAUGCGGCGCAUUAGGUAGUUGGUGGGGCAACGGCCCACCAAGCCGACGAUGCGUAGGGGUUCUGAGAGGAAGGUCCCCCACAUUGGAACUGAGACACGGUCCAAACUCCUACGGGAGGCAGCAG
rnacentral:rRNA from 1 species